AAGGAGUGAUGGGGCUUGGUGUCCUCUGCUGCAGGCCAGGACAGGCCCCAGAUCUGUGGCCCCUUGGGGGGAAAUGUGGACCUUGGGGAAAAGACCUGGGGCUCUACUGUUGGCUCUGCCACUGCCCAGGGGCAUGUGUCACACACCUCCAGCAUCCCAGGUGGUUCAGCAGGACUGGAGACUUCUCCUCAGGUGCUGCCCAGUGGCAGCCACAGCCUGUCAGGAGAGGCACAGCCUGGGUGCAAAAGCAGAGCAAUUUGCUUAUGUGAAGAUCAGAGCAGAUCCCACCACUUUGGGUCGAGCCUUCUGCCCUGCUUCAGCCUGAAUCCAACAGUGAAGGAAGCUACAAGAGAUCAGAUAAAAACAGGAAAAAAAAACAGGGAGGUUAAACACCUCAUCUUGAAUUAGCUUCAUCAUUCCUAGCCAUUGCAUAAAAGCUAUUAAAGUUAUUACAGGACAUGCUGGAUGCUGGCACAGCAGGAACAACAAAUAUAGGUAGAGUGGUCCUUGUCAUAAAUAUCACUCAGGCCAUCUUGACAGCCCUCUGCCAUCCUGAUGCUGCUCACAGCCAACCUGGCUGAGCAAUGCCAAGCCAUGGGUGCAGAUGAUGGGAACAGCUCCUUCUCUCUCUAAAUGACACAAGGCUUGCAUCCUCAAGGAAAGAGACCUCCUGCUGUGGGGCAGACCUGCUUUCCCUGGGUCCUCUCCAUGGGGAUCCCGCUGCAAGCGUCGCAAGGAACCAGAGGCCAGGAUUUAAAAACCACGGCACAAAAAGAAUUCAUCCCACUUGUGCAUGCAUUUGUCAAGUCUAUUAAUAAUGUGCUUCACACUCUACUUGUAAUGCUCCUUUUAAUGAUUACUCUGCAUUUUGCCACUCAGCGAUUGCAGUCACAUCUAAGUCCUAAAGUUAUCAGACAUUCAUCUUGUAAGAUCACAGCCCAACUCCUCUGAUGUCUCACUCUGUAAUACCAAGACAUCUUUAUUGCUAAGCACAUGGGCUUUUCAAGCCUGACACAGCACACAGGUAGGUGCUUUUGCUGCUCUGUUAGCUAAGCCUUUGGCCAGUGAAAGACCAUUGCACCCCCCAGUAUAAAGUCCUCUGGUUACCCCUUGUCUGCCAAAUGCUCUGACACAUCCAGUUAGGAAAUUAAGCCAACUUUUAGCUCAGUGUCUCCAAAUCCUAAUCCUCCCACUCUACCACUUCUCCCUGAACAGAGGGGGGAAUUAGAAAGGGGGGCCUUGCCCCUCACACCAGCAGUGAUGGGCAGAGCAGACAGGUCACCCUGAACCUGGAGUACCUCCAGAGCCAUCGACCCUCACUGAGUCACUCAUUAAGAUGAUGCAGCAGGAAGUCAUUGAAAACACAAGACAAUGGGAAUAAAAUGAAGAGCAAGGCAUCCAUUCACACCCUUGGCAGAGGCAUUUCUGUUCCUGCUCCCUGCCUGCCCGCAGGGAGGACGGGUGCUGCUUAUUAGACAGGUUAUGUAAUUGAAGUGGUCUAUAUUUAUCAGGAGAGCAUGGCGUACACACCUCGAGGGUCAGAAGCCCAGCAGUUUGGAGAACAUUAGCUCCACUAAUGAAUCAGCAGGGAGGAGGACCUAAAAAUAUGACUCGGCUGCAGAAGGACAUCAUCGAGUGGCUCGGGGAGACAAGGUCAGGAGGCCCCAGUGUGCGCUUCCAGCUCUGGCUGGAGUGGUGAUGCUGUGCUCAGGUGGUCAUUGCCUCAGAAAAGGCAAAAUCCACAGUGUGCUAAACUCCUUUUAAACUUUGGCUGUGGUGUUGGAUGUUGAGCUGUGCCUAAAGGAGGAGCAAGACCCCCAGUCCAUGCCAUAACCACUGUAUUGUAAAGUCGGCUUCCAUUUUACAUCAUUUUCCCUCUGAGCCUGAAACCUCAACACUCGUGGGAUCUAUCCUCCUUUUUAGGGCAUAGAACCACUAAAAACACUUGAUUUCCUUCAGGGUCAGGGUAGUCCUUGGCUGGUUCCAGACAUGGAAGCUGUGCUCUGUGCGCUGAGCCCUGCUGUGGGUGCUGGUCAGACAUGAGCUUUGUGCCUGCUCCUCAGCACUGGGGAAACUCAGAGCAGGCUCUUCUUCGUCAUGCUGGGUGCCCAGCCUUCAGGAGCAGCUGUGCCACCCCACAGUCCCCCAGCUGUCAUCACAGUGAGGAAGCUGCAGCACAUCAGCAGUGGCCCACAGUCAGACUGGAGACACGGAGCUCUGCAGCCAGGCACAAGCUGGGAUCCUCCUGUUGCCCAUGCCUGGAGAUGCUGGCAGCCCUGAUGGCCAGCACAGGCCCCUGGAGAAGGACCAGGAGGUGAACACCAGCAGUCACAUGUGUGCUGUGGGCCCAGGGCACAGCACAGACCUUGAGGGAGGAUGUCACCAGAGCAGGAGGACUACCAGGCAUUGGUCAGCUGUGUGAGGAGAUGUCCAGAUACAGCAACAGCAAUGGCCUCUCAGGGGUGCUAUGGGUGUGUGUGGGCUCACUGGGAGAGAGGUGGCACUUGCUGAUGUCCCCAUAGCUCAUCAGAGAAGCGGAUGCUCCAAGACUGGGGAAAAGCACCAUGGAACCCAUAGCCCUGAGCACAGCUGAUGCCAGGGUCCUCACCCAGGUGAGUGUUUCCACAGAAGAAUGGUGCAAGGUACCACUGGCCCCAGCUGGGAGCAUGGGCACUGUCCCAAAGAGCCAUGAAUCUCACAUCUCCCAGACCUCAGAGGAGUGGGGAUGGCAUUCCCUGGGCCACAGUGUGGGAAGGAGGUGAGGAGGAGGAUCUCUGGUGGGGACAUGAAGCCAAAACCCAGCAAUGGUUGGUAGGAGUGCUCUUUGCCAGGGGCAGUCAGAAAUACAGCCCAGCACAUGCAAAAGACUCUUGCUGCCAGAGACAGUGAAGAUUCUAUGAUGGGAGAGACCAUGGGCUCAAAAGCACCUGGGAAAGCAUCAGUAGGACCAAGGGAAAUUGGAGACUUUGGAUGCAGUUAUUCCUGCCUCCCACGGUCCAGUGGGCACAGAGAAGGCAGUGGUGUGAAGAGCAGGUGCCUGAGCACAUGGACUGCACUGCAAGGACCUCAACAAAAGGCAUCAAAACAAUUUCCUUGAGAAUCAGAAGUGUCCAGACACAGCUGAAGGCACCAAGCCACUUGACUGUAAUGGAGUCAAUUUUCUCCUUCAAAGU